CAUAUGGAACAAAGGAAGGAAGUGACUUUCCGCUCACCAUAAGAGGAACACGACGUCCUUCUAAUUCCUGUUGACCCAAAAGACAAGAAAUCUGUGAGACGUUUACGUUGCUACCCUUGGCACCAGAAACGGUCAUAGUUUGCAUAUGAUUAUAGGGGAAUUUUGUAAGUAAACCAUCAGGGAUACAUUUGUUGAUAAUUGAGGAAGUAAGCCCGUUCAUUUUACCUUUCAUAGCAGCAUCUAAACCUUGUAACUUCUCAUC